rnacentral:lncRNA from 1 species
AUACUGACCAAUGACUUGCAUCAAAAGUGCUUAAUAUAGAAUAGUUCUUCAUUUCUUUCAAACAUAAAGUAUCAUGAUAUAUAUCAUUAAGGCAUCUACCAAAUUCACAAUCAUUCUGAUAUAUUUUGUAAAUGACUGCCAUGAAUUUAUUACAUUGUGUUGUGAAAAAAUUUACACCUAAGUUGUCCUUAUAGGUUAAAAAUAACUUAAUCUAUUUCAUUUAAUAUUCUAUUAUUUGGCUAAGAUGUUUGUGCCACCUGACAGUGAAGCUAUGUCCACUCCAAAGGAUCACGUCUUGUAUCCUUAGAGAGUGUAUUCUGUUGUCUAGCUUUGUAUUCUGCAUCAUAUCUUUUAAAUCUGCAACUCAUACAUUGAAAGAAUUGAAGAAAACUGACAGAUUCUUCCACAGAAUACCAAGUCGUGCACUUCCUUUUUAAAUUUUUGAUCUUCUUUAUUUUUUCGUUUAUAUAAAAAAUAAGACUUUGCCAUCCCUCCUUAUUUUACUUAGAGACAUGGGUGCCAUUUAUUUCUUGAAAGGACUUGAACAUUUUUAAAUAUACGUUUCUUAGAGGAAGACUGUCAUGUCUUUUUAAAAUGGACGUCGCUGACUUUUAAAAAAUAUUUAUAAGUACAUGUACUUAGAAAGCUCAUGUUAAUAGCUCACAAUAAGCAAUCAAAAGUUACCCUGUGAUAUACUUACUAGUAAACUUUUUUUUCUAUCUAAUCAUAUUCAAGGAUGAGAGGAUUUUAAUUAUCAUGAAAUCAAGUUUAAUAGAUAGAUACAUUGUACUACAUUUUUUUUAAAAACUUUGUACUGUUGAUUGUUGUAAGAAAAAA